CUGGCGGCGUGCCUAAUACAUGCAAGUCGAACGCACUCUCGUUUAGAUUGAAGGAGCUUGCUCCUGAUUGAUAAACAUUUGAGUGAGUGGCGGACGGGUGAGUAACACGUGGGUAACCUGCCCUAAAGUGGGGAUAACAUUUGGAAACAGAUGCUAAUACCGCAUAAAACCUAACACCGCAUGGUGUAGGGUUGAAAGAUGGUUUCGGCUAUCACUUUAGGAUGGACCCGCGGUGCAUUAGUUAGUUGGUGAGGUAAAGGCUCACCAAGACCGUGAUGCAUAGCCGACCUGAGAGGGUAAUCGGCCACACUGGGACUGAGACACGGCCCAGACUCCUACGGGAGGCAGCAGUAGGGAAUCUUCCACAAUGGACGAAAGUCUGAUGGAGCAACGCCGCGUGAGUGAAGAAGGUUUUCGGAUCGUAAAACUCUGUUGUUGGAGAAGAAUGUAUCUGAUAGUAACUGAUCAGGUAGUGACGGUAUCCAACCAGAAAGCCACGGCUAACUACGUG
rnacentral:rRNA from 1 species